AAUCAACGCUGGCGGCGUGCCUCAGACAUGCAAGUCGAACGCGAAAGCCCCCUUCGGGGGGCAAGUAGAGUGGCGCACGGGUGAGUAACACGUAGGUAAUCUACCUUUGGAUGGGGAAUAACAACCGGAAACGGUUGCUAAUACCGCAUAAUGCAGCGGCACCUAAUGGUGACAGUUGUUAAAGCGGGGGAUCGAAAGACCUCGCGUCUGAAGAGGAGCCUGCGGCGGAUUAGCUAGUGGUAAGGUAACGGCUUACCAAGGCGACGAUCCGUAGUCGGCCUGAGAGGGCGGUCGGCCACACUGACACUGACACACGGGUCAGACUCCUACGGGAGGCAGCAGUCGGGAAUUUUGGGCAAUGGGCGAAAGCCUGACCCAGCAACGCCGCGUGAAGGAUGAAAUCCCUCGGGAUGUAAACUUCGCAAGAACGGGAAGAAUAAGUAGGGGAC
rnacentral:rRNA from 1 species